ensembl:lncRNA PVT1 Pvt1 oncogene
GGCAGAGCGCGUGUGGCGGCCGAGCACAUGGGCCCGCGGGCCGGGCGGGCUCGGGGCGGCCGGGACGAGGAGGGGCGACGACGAGCUGCGAGCAAAGAUGUGCCCCGGGACCCCCGGCACCUUCCAGUGGAUUUCCUUGCGGAAAGGAUGUUGGCGGUCCCUGUGACCUGUGGAGACACGGCCAGAUCUGCCCUCCAGACCAUAGCUGUCUGCAGUGCAGGAAGCCAACUAUUAAGGGGAAACAAAAGUGUUCUUAGGAGUCCUGCUGUCACUGUGGAUUGAGCCGGUGAAGCCCUGAGGGAUUUCAUCGCUGAGGUGGAUGGAGAAGCAGCUGGGGGCCUUGGCUGUAAGGACCCCUAAGGGCCUGAUCUUUUGGCCAGAAGGAGAUUAAAAAGAUGCCCCUCAAGAUGGCUGUGCCUGUCAGCUGCAUGGAGCUUCGUUCAAGUAUUUUCUGAGCCUGAUGGAUUUACAGUGAUCUUCAGUGGUCUGGGGAAUAACGCUGGUGGAACCAUGCACUGGAAUGACACACGCCCGGCACAUUUCAGGAUACUAAAAGUGGUUUUAAGGGAGGCUGUGGCUGAAUGCCUCAUGGAUUCUUACAGCUUGGAUGUCCAUGGGGGACGAAGGACUGCAGCUGGCUGAGAGGGUUGAGAUCUCUGUUUACUUAGAUCUCUGCCAACUUCCUUUGGGUCUCCCUAUGGAAUGUAAGACCCCGACUCUUCCUGGUGAAGCAUCUGAUGCACGUUCCAUCCGGCGCUCAGCUGGGCUUGAGCUGACCAUACUCCCUGGAGCCUUCUCCCGAGGUGCGCGGGUGACCUUGGCACAUACAGCCAUCAUGAUGGUACUUUAAGUGGAGGCUGAAUCAUCUCCCCUUUGAGCUGCUUGGCACGUGGCUCCCUUGGUGUUCCCCUUUUACUGCCAGGACACUGAGAUUUGGAGAGGCAACUACACAGCCAGUGGUGGGAAAGCACCUAAUUUACAUCUUCAUGCAUUGAAACUGAUGUCACUCACCUCUCCCCCUUGACCUGGAAGAGCCCCUGAAGGCUGCCAUAGGGGAAAUGAUAACCCAUUCUACAGCUGCUGAAACUGAGGCCCAGGGAGUGUCCAGAGCUUUCUGAGGUCCACCAUGUACUGUUGACCAGGAUGAGUGAUAGCCACCUGGUGACAAUGUUGAAGGUUCUCAUUCAGUAGAGCUGGGUUCAAUUCUGACUUGCCUGACCAGCUGGUGCCUCAUUUUGCUCUAAGUAUUGGAGCCUCCAGCUUUAUUUUCUUUCAGUGGGAAAGACUGUGAGAUUCAGUCCCUCCUUGAAGCUGCGCAUCGACUCUCCUGUCCUGGGUACUCUUUAGGUAGUGGCUGUUCUGAAGUGGCUUUGGAAACCCUGGAAUGAAACUGUCAUGUCCAAUGCUGAGAUUUGUAUAAACUGUCAUUUUAACUGUGAUUAUUAUUCCUUAGGAUUUGAGAAAUAAAAUCUGAGGAGGGAGCAGGACCUGCCUCAGGGCCUCCUCUCCAAGUUGAGUGACCCAUCUUCCCAGGUCUCCUUUUGUUCUGUCUUGAGCCUCUCUCCUGAGGUCCUGAAAGAAGAGAAUGUGCUGUUGUAGGGGGCCUGGAAAUGUCCCAUGGACCAUCUCGUGACUCAGUAAGAUGAUGUGUGUCCUCUGGGGACAGAAGGAGGUCCUGCACAGAGUGUUCCUGCCCGUUGAUGCCCUCCCCAGAUCCUAACGCGAAGUCUGACACAUAGUAGCCUCCCGGUAAUCUUAAUAAGCAAAAGGACACAUUUCUCAAGUGAUCUUAGCACCAUUUCAUGCAAUCAAUUCCAGCCCAGCCCUUUAUUCUGGCCAGCCCUGGUGGGUCCAUUAGCUGCAAAAAUUAGUCGUGCUCAGUUUUAAUGCAAAUGACUAAGUAUUACUUUAUUGAAUUGAUUAAUAAAGAAGCUCUCUUUGUAUGAUAUCAAGACCAUGAAGAAA